UAUAAACCCCCCCAAAUUAUUAGUGCAUAUUAUAUUUAGUCUAUAUUAUUUGAAUGUACACUAUAGGGUAGGGCUGCAACAAUGAAUCUCUAAAAUUUGAUUAUUAAAAGAGUUGGCAACAAUUUAAUUAUCAAUUUGUUGUCUCGCGACUAUUAUGCCACUCAAUAAGUCGCGGAGAUGUUUGAGUAGUAAACAUUUUUUCUGUUUAUGUUCUGAGUUAAGCGCAGAGCAAAAAAAAAAAAAAGGAGCAGAGGUAGAGGAAAGACUAUCGGAGAGACCCGUAACGUUGUUAGGGUACAAUUUCUGUGGAAAUUGUGGGGUGUGCUCCUGUAUUUUUGUAUGCCUUUCGACUGGUUAGCUGCUGCGAUUCCCACACAAAAGUGUAGUAGUUAGCCAACUCUACAAUUUAACGGGGGUAGGUCUGAAUCCAGGAGCAAAAUGGAGCACAGCUGCGAGCUGUAGUUGUCUUUUACUUGUCUCUGAUUUUUAGCUACGGUACUAAUGCUGAGGGCUCGCUGAUAUAGCUGUCUGUCUUACUAGAACGGCGUAUCUAUGCGUCGGUGAUAACGUUUGCUGAUGUUGUGUUAGGCUAGCACUGAGGUCCCUUCUGCCACACAAGACACUUUUCGCCACAAAAACGUAAUUUCAGCCUAAACUGUGCAACAGAACGUAAAUCCCUAUACAAGCAACGCAAUUGGGACAUUUUGACACCGACGUUGUCUAUGUAGUCCAAAUAUUGAGGGAUCUUUGGGGUGGGGAAAUUACAAUAAAUAUAUAUGAGAGAGAACAAUGGUUGUGCUCGCCGAAGGCUUUGAGCCCAAUUUUUAUCCGAUUAAUCGACUAAUCUAAAAAAUAAUCGACAGAUUAACCGAUUA